UACGUAGGGGGCAAGCGUUAUCCGGAAUUACUGGGUGUAAAGGGUGAGUAGGCGGUGAGAUAAGUCAUAUGUGAAAGCCCUGGGCUUAACCCAGGGAUUGCAUAAGAAACUGUUUGACUAGAGUACAGGAGAGGUAAGUGGAAUUCCUAGUGUAGCGGUGAAAUGCGUAGAUAUUAGGAAGAACACCAGUGGCGAAGGCGACUUACUGGACUGAAACUGACGCUGAGUCACGAAAGCGUGGGGAGCGAACAGG
rnacentral:rRNA from 1 species